UACGGGGGUGCGAGCGUUGUCCGGAAUCACUGGGCGUAAAGGGCGCGUAGGUGGUUUGAUAAGGGUGUGGUGAAAGUCCGGGGCUCAACCCCGGAUCUGCCGUGCCGACUGUCAAACUCGAGGACUGUAGAGGCAGACGGAAUUCCGGGUGUAGUGGUGAAAUACGUAGAGAUUGGGAAGAACACCAGUGGCGAAGGCGGCUAUCUGGACGGUUUCUGACACUAAGACUCGAAAGCGUGGGGAGCAAACAGG
rnacentral:rRNA from 1 species